CAGUAGCCGCGGGAAUACGUAGGUCCCGAGCGUUGUCCGGAUUUAUUGGGCGUAAAGCGAGCGCAGGCGGUUAGAUAAGUCUGAAGUUAAAGGCUGUGGCUUAACCAUAGUACGCUUUGGAAACUGUUUAACUUGAGUGCAAGAGGGGAGAGUGGAAUUCCAUGUGUAGCGGUGAAAUGCGUAGAUAUAUGGAGGAACACCAGUGGCGAAGGCGGCUUUUUGGCCUGUAACUGACACUGAGGCGCGAAAGCGUGGGGAGCAAACAGGAUUAGAUACCCCGGUAGUCCCUGUCUCUUAUACA
rnacentral:rRNA from 1 species